rnacentral:misc_RNA from 1 species
GUGGGAGCGAGCCUGCUCGCGAUGGCUGCGGGUCAGUCAGUAUUGAUGUCGACUGACACACCGCUUUCGCGAGCAGGCUCGCUCCCAC